rnacentral:rRNA from 1 species
GUCUACAGCCAUACCACCCUGAAUGUGCCCGAUCUCAUCUCAUCUUGGAAGCUAAGCAGGGUCGGGCCUGGUUAGUACUUGGAUGGAAGAGAUACAGAGAACAGACUGGUGAUUGCUAGAGG